CUAAUAUAUAACAUUAUAAGUACAGUCAACUCAAAAUUGGUAUAGACAAGGGGAAUCCAACUAUUUAAUUAAAACAAAGCAUUGUGAUGGUCUAUGUGGACGUUGACACAAUGUGAUUUAUGUCUAGUGCUAUGCAUGUCAAAGUGAAUAAAUUCAACCAAGUGCACGUAAAUGAUGGGAGUAACUAUGACUCUCUUAAGGUAUCCAAAUGCCUUGUCAUCUAAUUAAGGAUGUACGUGAAUGGAUUAACGAGAUUACCACUAUCCCUAUAUACUAUCUAGAUAAACCACAACCAAUGGAAUGGGAUUCGAAGAAUCAAUGGGGAAAGAAGACCAUGUUGAGCUUGACUAUAGUCUGACUUUGUGAAAUGAAUUGAGAGGUGUAGAAUAAGUGGGAUCUGUUUUCAACGUAAGUGAAAUACCACUACUUUUAAUGUUAUUUUACUUAUUCCAUGGGGCAGAGACGGGGCAUUGCCCUUUUUUUUGGCCAUAAGACACAUUUCGGCAGGUCAAUCUAGGUGGAAGACAUUGUUAGGUGGUGAGUUUGGUUGGGGAGGCACAACUAUUAAAAGAUAACACCUGUGUCCUAAGAUGAGCUCAACAAGAAUAGAAAUCUCAAGUGGAACAAAAGGGUAAAAUCUCAUUUUAUUUGCCACCAAGAUCUUGAUCCUUAUAAUUAAUUGAUGGAUAUGAAUUAAUAAAUCAAUUAUAUGUUUGCAUGCAUCAACAUAGUUAAUUUAAAAUACUAAUUACUUGAGUGAGAUUAAGUGGCCAAUGGCACAUUUGGAGGAAUGGUCCAUGAAACCCCAGGAGAGGAUAGGCUAAUAGGACUAGAGAUGUCUGGAGGGAGUAUACAUACCUAAUUAAUGUUAAUCACACUCACCAAUGACUAACAACCAACUUUAGACAUGAAAGGAAGUUAAUUUGCUUAAUCUAAACCUUUCAUUUAUGAGGACGUCGAAGAAUAUUCCAUUUCUAUUAAAUCAUGUCUACAAAAAGAAGAUGCAUCAUUAAUAUAGCAGUGUUUAGGACUAUUUGAUUUCUAUGAUUUUAAAUAGU
rnacentral:ncRNA from 1 species